UACACUUGAGAUAUUGCAUUUUUGUAAAUUUUCAUUAAAAAUAGACUUUAAGAAAUUUCUAAAAAGGUAAAUCAUGUAUUUUUCUUUGAAGAGGUUGAUUUUAUAUGAUUUUUCAAAGUUGAGAUUCAUAUAUGAUUACAUAUUUGAAGUUACUUACUUGGGAUAGUUGAGUAAAACUAUGCUUAAGUCAUUGGUCAAUUCUUGAAUUGAUAUUUUAGUUAUCAAUUGUAAACUAAUCUAUAUAGAAUGGGUUAGUUACUCUUACUUUUUCAACUUGAGAUAUCCCAAGAGAUAUGAUGUUACUGUUUGCUUUUGGUUAGUUUAGUUGAUGCAACCCUAGUUUUGCAAAAGAUUAAAAGUUUAUCGGGAUGCUAUUUAUAGUUAUUUCUUCUUAUCUAGUUAUCCAACCUUAUUUUAUAAUCUUGCUAUUAUGAAGGUGACAGUAACAAUGCUAGAUAAGUGAGCAAGAGUUUCUACAUCGUUAAGUAUAUCAGGUUAAGCUGUGAUGCAGAUGGUAGCAUGCAGAGCUAAGCCCUCGGUGUAUAUAUAUAUAAUUUAGGCUCGGGAUUUCAUGUCCUCAUACAUGUAAUCCACUUGAGUUGUUUCCGCUGCAACACUUAAUGUACCUUACUUUAUUGAUGUGUUGUAGAGAUUUUAAACCAAUAGCUUCGAGAAUUAUAU